GUCACUUUGAUGUAGAGACGUAGAGGUCUAGUGUUAAGGCUAGGAACGCCUAUCUUGGUUGGCUGCUAUGAAAAAGUCACAGUUCAUCCCGGCGAGUCCAUGCCGACAAAGUGCUGCUGUAACUGAAGGAUCGUGCCGAAGACACCAGACACAUUAUACUCACAACGGAUCAACCAGUGAUGUUCCCUUGUCCUAACCUCUCAGCGCUGAGCGUCAAGCGAUGCAGCAGUUCCACAAACGGACACGUAGUGUAGUUGAAAGGGGUAUAGGCCAGUUGAAGAGAAGAUUUCAUGUAUUGCGUGGAGAAAUAAGGAUGUCACCAGACAAAGCCUGCCAAAUAAUUUUGGCAUGCGCCGUUCUGCAUAAUAUCUGCAAAUUGAGACAAAUACCUCAUCCAGUUAAUGAAGAGGAGGUUGAAAAUAAUGGAGUUGAUCAACA